rnacentral:lncRNA from 14 species
CAGCCUCAAGCACGCGGAAGCAGAGCCUGCUGCUGGUGAAUGUGGUACCCAGUGGAUGGAUCCUUCUCUUGGUGCUUUUGUGGCAGAUUUGAGAUGAAGAGGGAGAACAUGGAAAUGAUUUUUAUCUCACUUUCAGUCUCCAUCGGGUUGCUGGCAGCUCCAACUCCCAGCAGGUUGCUGUGGUUUCGGGUCCUGUGUUCCUCGCUCCUCACAGAGCGUCCUGGGAUCCAGCCCAGCAGCAGUGAUGGCAGUCCCUGCUCCUUCAUCCCUCGCGGGCCUGGGCAGGAAGAGAUGGAGCUGACAGCUCUGCAAGGCGAGGAGGAGGCAGGAGAAGCAGCAGCAGCUCCCAGGUCAUCAUCACUUUGUCCAAAUCAGCAGGUAUCAGCCAUGCCCUUGAGCUCUCCAUUGUGGCUCCUGUUUAGUUUGGCUUCCCCCUGGCAGCUGCCACAGCCCUGCAGUAUCAAACCACCUGCCUGAAUUUCAAGGAAGUCAUCCAUAUAUUCAACAGGAAUCUCAACUUCCAGGAGCUCUCGAGGGCCUUGAGAUCAGAGCAGCUAAACCAGGGAUUUCUGUUCACAGCACUGGGGCUGGAACUUGCCCUGGCUGAGAUGUCUGCUGGGGGGUGUCCUGGGGCUAAGCCCCAUCCCAGCACCAUCACACUGGUGGGAUGAAGCCAGCCCAAGUGAGUGCACCUCCUCCAUAUGUUUUUAACCCAAAGGUGGCUUCUGGAAUCAGUAGAGGAGGUGAUUCCUCCGCAGCCUGGGGAAUCCUAACCGCAUUCCUCCCUGAGACCUUCAAAGGAGCCUGAGGAAUGCAAUUCCCACUAAUUUGCUUUGGAAAUACCAACUUAAAUCACAGUUCUGGCAUGCUGGGAGGAAGGAUCAGACCGGACUGUAGCUUUGCUAAGACAACAGUUUUGAUGAUUUAUUAAGACUUACAUUUUGAACAGCAUUAUCUUGGUUGAUGUUAAGAUGCUCCUGCGAUUAAUGAAAAUGUCAUACACUGACUGGGGAAGAAAGAGCCCAUUUUAUGUCCCCAACCAGAUGGCCCAGACCAGCUGCUCACUUUCCUUCUUUGAACUGCGAUUCUAAUGACUUCUGUGUCCUUUGAAGUCUGCUUCUGAGCUGCUGAACCAGAUGUAUUUGCAUGACAGUAGCAGAGUUUAACAGUCGAGGACUUGUGCUGUUUUCCCUCAUACCCCACCACAUUUGCUCUCCUUUGGGGGUUUGGAGCGGUGAGCAAACACUGAUAAAAUGUACCUUGGUGUAACAUCACCAGCUGCAGUGCAGUAAUUCCCUGAACCCGCAGCAUCUUUACCCAGCCCUGGGCUGGUUUCUAAACCCAUCAGCAGUGUCAGUCUGCUUUCAGUCAUGGAUUUAUGAGGGCCUCACAAAAGCAGGAGCCGCUGUCAGAACACACGUUGCUGCACCGCUCUGACAACAGGACAAGGAAAAAGGAAGAGUUUAAAUAUGUAUUAAGAAGUUCUAAAAGGAAUAAAC